rnacentral:rRNA from 1 species
UACGUAGGUGGCAAGCGUUAUCCGGAAUUACUGGGCGUAAAGCGCACGCAGGCGGUCUUUUAAGUUUGACGUGAAAGCUCCCGGCUUAACUGGGAGAGGUCGUUGCAUACUGGCAAACUCGAGGGAGGCAGAGGAAAGUGGAAUUCCCGGUGUAGUGGUGAUAUGCGUAGAUAUCGGGAGGAACACCUGUGGCGAAGGCGGCUUUCUGGGCCUUACCUGACGCUGAGACGCGAAAGCGUGGGGAGCGAACCGG